GCUAAUUUGGCAGAAAAGUGCUUUAAAUUUAGAAUUUAAUAAUGUAAUUUUUACAGUUAGUA
rnacentral:tRNA from 1 species